UGUACAUUUUCAAUUAUAAAAAAUUAUAAAUUAAAAAUUUAAAAAGCCAACUAUGAAAGACCUUCAUAGAACAGGAAAAUCUAAAUAUUAAUACUCUAAUAACAGGUAAAGCUUAAAUUUUUUUAUAUUGCUUAUAUUUUUAGAUUUUGUAAUGUUUUGGUUAACACAAGUGAGACAGUAAUUAACAAAAGUGAGAAAACAGGAAUCUAUAUUACUAUAACAAGUUUCAAAAUAAAAAAUUUAUUCUGUGAUAGAAAUGCAAUGUGAAAUUAUAAAAAAACUUUUAAGGACUGUCGUGAUGAACCAGGCUGUGGAUUUUGUUGAGGUGUAAUAUCUCCUGCAAAUUCCUCAGGGACUGGAGUGGAUGGUGGGGUUAUUUCAUUAAGCUGAGCUAAAAGUCUUUCUCUUCCUUUUUUAGCAUAGUACGAUUUUUUACUUUUUUCUCGCCAACAUUUUCUAAUCUUCCUUUGCUCUCGUUCUGAUAAUUCAUCAAUUGCCUUUAUAGGUCUGGAUCCCGCGUG
rnacentral:lncRNA from 1 species